rnacentral:rRNA from 1 species
CCUACGGGAGGCAGCAGUGAGGAAUAUUGGUCAAUGGGCGCGAGCCUGAACCAGCCAAGUAGCGUGAAGGAUGACUGCCCUACGGGUUGUAAACUUCUUUUAUGAAGGAAUAAAGUGAGUCACGUGUGCCUUUUUGUAUGUACUUUAUGAAUAAGGAUCGGCUAACUCCGUGCCAGCAGCCGCGGUAAUACGGAGGGUCCGAGCGUUAUCCGGAUUUAUUGGGUUUAAAGGGAGCGUAGAUGGUUUGUUAAGUCAGUUGUGAAAGUUUGCGGCUCAACCGUAAAAUUGCAAUUGAUACUGGCAGUCUUGAGUGCAGUGGAGGUAGGCGGAAUUCGUGGUGUAGCGGUGAAAUGCUUAGAGAUCACGAAGAACUCCGAUUGCGAAGGCAGCCUACUAAACUGCCACUGACGUUGAGGCUCGAAAGUGUGGGUAUCAAACAGGAUUAGAUACCCGAGUAGUC